rnacentral:rRNA from 1 species
ACGGCUCAGUAACACGUGGACAACCUGCCCUGAGGACUGGAAUAAUCCCGGGAAACUGGGAGUAAUUCCAGAUAUGCCAGGGAACCUGGAAUGGUUUCUGGCAGAAAUGCUCCGGCGCCUCAGGAUGGGUCUGCGGCCUAUCAGGGUAGUAGUGGGUGUAACGUACCCACUAGCCUACGACGGGUACGGGUUGUGAGAGCAAGAGCCCGGAGAUGGAUUCUGAGACAUGAAUCCAGGCCCUACGGGGUGCAGCAGGCGCGAAAACUUUACAAUGCGGGCAACCGCGAUAAGGGGACCUCGAGUGCUGGGUUACAAACCUGGCUGUUGGGCUGCCUAAAAAGCAGUCUAUAGCAAGGGCCGGGCAAGACCGGUGCCAGCCGCCGCGGUAACACCGGCGGCUCGAGUGGUAACCGCUGUUAUUGGGUCUAAAGGGUCUGUAGCCUGCCGGCUAAGUCUCUUGGGAAAUCUGGCAUCUCAAGUGUCAGGCUGCCAGGGGAUACUGGUCAGCUUGGGACCGGGAGAGGUGAGAGGUACCUCAGGGGUAGGGGUGAAAUCUUGUAAUCCUUGAGGGACCACCAGUGGCGAAGGCGUCUCACCAGAACGGAUCCGACGGCAAGGGACGAGAGCUAGGGGCACGAACCGGAUUAGAUACCCGGGUAGUCCUAGCCGUAAACGAUACUCGCUAGGUGUCGGCCACGGUGCGACCGUGGUCGGUGCCGUAGGGAAGCCGUGAAGCGAGCCACCUGGGAAGUACGGCCGCAAGGCUGAAACUUAAAGGAAUUGGCGGGGGAGCAC